rnacentral:misc_RNA from 1 species
GGAGAGGCCGGCAGUGUCCCAGCCGUAGUCUCCGGGGAAUUCUCCGGUGAGGUAGGAGGGAGUUUGCUCGGAGAACGGGCCGAGAUACUUGGGACGGUCGGCGCCAUACCAUAUGCUUUGGGGAGCGCUCUUGACGGUGCGACGCAUGGAGACACGGCCACCAACAACACCGACCUUGCGAACAAGUUCAUCACGAUUCUUAAGGGCAGUCUGCCCGGCGAAAGCGGAUUGUUGGAUGGCCGAGGUCGCCAUGAGGCUCGCCGGAGGUUGGUAUUGCUCUCUAGCUUUG